GGUUAAGCGACUAAGCGUACACGGUGGAUGCCCUGGCAGUCAGAGGCGAUGAAGGACGUGCUAAUCUGCGAUAAGCGUCGGUGAGGUGAUAUGAACCGUUAUAACCGGCGAUUUCCGAAUGGGGAAACCCAGUGUGUUUCGACACACUAUCAUUAACUGAAUCCAUAGGUUAAUGAGGCGAACCGGGGGAACUGAAACAUCUAAGUACCCCGAGGAAAAGAAAUCAACCGAGAUUCCCCCAGUAGCGGCGAGCGAACGGGGAGGAGCCCAGAGCCUGAAUCAGUGUGUGUGUUAGUGGAAGCGUCUGGAAAGGCGUGCGAUACAGGGUGACAGCCCCGUACACAAAAAUGCACAUAUUGUGAGCUCGAUGAGUAGGGCGGGACACGUGGUAUCCUGUCUGAAUAUGGGGGGACCAUCCUCCAAGGCUAAAUACUCCUGACUGACCGAUAGUGAACCAGUACCGUGAGGGAAAGGCGAAAAGAACCCCGGCGAGGGGAGUGAAAAAGAACCUGAAACCGUGUACGUACAAGCAGUGGGAGCCUCUUAAUGGGGUGACUGCGUACCUUUUGUAUAAUGGGUCAGCGACUUAUAUUCUGUAGCAAGGUUAACCGAAUAGGGGAGCCGAAGGGAAACCGAGUCUUAACUGGGCGUUAAGUUGCAGGGUAUAGACCCGAAACCCGGUGAUCUAGCCAUGGGCAGGUUGAAGGUUGGGUAACACUAACUGGAGGACCGAACCGACUAAUGUUGAAAAAUUAGCGGAUGACUUGUGGCUGGGGGUGAAAGGCCAAUCAAACCGGGAGAUAGCUGGUUCUCCCCGAAAGCUAUUUAGGUAGCGCCUCGUGAAUUCAUCUCCGGGGGUAGAGCACUGUUUCGGCAAGGGGGUCAUCCCGACUUACCAACCCGAUGCAAACUGCGAAUACCGGAGAAUGUUAUCACGGGAGACACACGGCGGGUGCUAACGUCCGUCGUGAAGAGGGAAACAACCCAGACCGCCAGCUAAGGUCCCAAAGUCAUGGUUAAGUGGGAAACGAUGUGGGAAGGCCCAGACAGCCAGGAUGUUGGCUUAGAAGCAGCCAUCAUUUAAAGAAAGCGUAAUAGCUCACUGGUCGAGUCGGCCUGCGCGGAAGAUGUAACGGGGCUAAACCAUGCACCGAAGCUGCGGCAGCGACACUAUGUGUUGUUGGGUAGGGGAGCGUUCUGUAAGCCUGUGAAGGUGGCCUGUGAGGGUUGCUGGAGGUAUCAGAAGUGCGAAUGCUGACAUAAGUAACGAUAAAGCGGGUGAAAAGCCCGCUCGCCGGAAGACCAAGGGUUCCUGUCCAACGUUAAUCGGGGCAGGGUGAGUCGACCCCUAAGGCGAGGCCGAAAGGCGUAGUCGAUGGGAAACAGGUUAAUAUUCCUGUACUUGGUGUUACUGCGAAGGGGGGACGGAGAAGGCUAUGUUGGCCGGGCGACGGUUGUCCCGGUUUAAGCGUGUAGGCUGGUUUUCCAGGCAAAUCCGGAAAACCAAGGCUGAGGCGUGAUGACGAGGCACUACGGUGCUGAAGCGACAAAUGCCCUGCUUCCAGGAAAAGCCUCUAAGCAUCAGGUAACAUCAAAUCGUACCCCAAACCGACACAGGUGGUCAGGUAGAGAAUACCAAGGCGCUUGAGAGAACUCGGGUGAAGGAACUAGGCAAAAUGGUGCCGUAACUUCGGGAGAAGGCACGCUGAUAUGUAGGUGAAGCGACUUGCUCGUGGAGCUGAAAUCAGUCGAAGAUACCAGCUGGCUGCAACUGUUUAUUAAAAACACAGCACUGUGCAAACACGAAAGUGGACGUAUACGGUGUGACGCCUGC
rnacentral:rRNA from 1 species